CUGUGGCGUAAGCUGGCAGCUGCAGCUCCCAUUGAACCCCUAGCCUGGGCACUUCCAUAUGCCAUGGGUUCAGUCCUAAAAAGACAACAACAACAACAAGAACUAAAUCUUGAAGAAUUUCAUUUCACAGAUGUUUGAAGGAAGAUCAACUUAGAAAGGGCAUAGAAGACUGCCACAAAAAAUAGGAGAGAGACCAUUAGAGUCAUGAAAACAAAGGGGAGAUAUGCUUUGAUGAAGAGGAGUGAUCAGCAAUGUCAAGUGGACAUGGCUGGAAGAAGUCCUUCAGAGUUAGUGGCAUGGAAGUCACUGGUGAUCCUAGUAAGAGCUAUUUUGAGGAAGGAUGAGGAAAAAGACAAAUUAGAGCAGGGUGAAUAGUGAGUGAGGGCUGUGAAAUUGGAUACAGUCAAAAUAGACAAGUUUUAUCAGAAGAGAAUAGCAGGUAGAAUGAGUAGGAUUUGGGGGAGGGUUUUUAUAUGAGAUGAGAGAGUCUUGAGUAUGUUUUAAAAGUUACUGGUAAAUAUUUAAUUGAUCGGGAGCUGGAAGCUUUUUGAGAGAGAAAAAGGAUCAUGGAUCCUAGUGCUGGCUCAUGAAAAGAUGAGUAGGCAGAAAAGGAUUUGCAGAGAUGCCCACAUUUGCUUGUUUGAUAUGAAGAAGAUGGAGUUCCCCUCCUAGGGAUUCUAUUUUUCUAAAGAAAGAGAGAGUAUCUUUGUCUAUGGGGGAAACAGGGAGGAGAAGUGGAAGUGUGAGGAGAGCUAAGAGAGUUUGAAAUUUGGUAAUUGUGAAGAGUGUGUGUGAGCAGGUUUGAGAAAAGUGGGAUUCUUGAUCACUGUGAAGGGCUCAUUCCCCAGAAGCUUGGGAACGUUCAUUUUCUUAUGCUGUUAAAUAAACAAUCAAUGGUGUAUGCAUGUUUUAUGAAAAAUCCCAGUUAACAAUAUCCAUACAAAUAAGAAAAAAGUAUUUCGGAAAGGUGGGAAAGAUUUUUUUUUUUAAGUGAUUGAUUUUCAGACUGCUUGGGGAGACUGGAAGGAAAAUACUCAUUUGAACACGAAAAUGUAAAUUUUAAAAGAUCUUUGAAUGUGUAUAUACUUACUACAUGACCAGGCUGAGGGGAAAAAAGUUCCUUUUUCAUCUGAGGAAAAUUGACCAAUUUAUCUUGUUCAAACAGUGAAGUUUGGGCUGAGUUAAACAGAAAUGAUUUUAAAAGGAUAUCAGAGUGUGCUUAAAAUGAUGCACUAAGGUUCCUGGAUUUUCAUUUUUAUUGUUGAUCCACUGAUGUUAGAUGUCUGCAAUUUUCCUAUCCACCCAGGAAGAUGAACAGAUGUUUUUGUGAAUGUGAAACUAACUCGGCAAGUAGAGCCUUAUUUUCUAAGCAGUUUUUUGGCUGAGGAAGACAAGGAACAGACACCUGGAGAUUAGAAAUAAGUUUCUAAUCACUAGAAAUGCUUAUUUUAAUGAGUUGGCCUCAGUUGGCAAAUAGAAAUUGCCUAAAUGUGAAAUUCCAUUUCCUAUGUGGAGAGUCCACUACCAGGUAUGUUGGUGGGAGCAUUGCAGAGCAUACAAAAGGAUUUUUUUUCCCUCUUGAAGAAUUUUUUGUUUGGCUGGGGAGGGAAUGUAUUCAUGCAAAAGGUACGAAAGAGACCUUUAGUAACUUCACAGAUGCAGGUGUUUUAAGGAAGUGGGCAAAGGCUCAGAGUAAGAGAAGGAAGAGAUAUCAGAAAGACUCACGGAAGAAGAUUCAGGAAUAAGAAGGUAUCAGUGCUAUAGUCAGAGUAUAGCCAGCUGAUAUAGCUCAGACCUUAGGUGCUUCUAAGGUGCACUCAGGAGAAUAUGGAGAAUCACGUGGAAGAUUUUAAGGGCCAGACCUGGAGAUGGCAUGCAUCGCUUCUGUCCUAUAGCAUUGGCCAGAAGUCAAUCACACAGCCCUAGCUAACUGCAAGAGUGGCUGGGAAAUAUAUAGGCAUCCCUUGGAGAUAGUGUGGGUUUGGUUCCAGGCAUGGCAAUAAAGCAAGUAUCACAAAAUAAGUCACACAAUUUUUUUUUCUGCGCAUAUGAAAGCUAUAUUUACAUUAUCUAUUAAGUGUAUUAAGUGUGCGAUAGCAUUAUGUCUAAAAA
rnacentral:lncRNA from 1 species